rnacentral:lncRNA from 1 species
GAACUGGGUCCGGAUGAACACACCACAAACCAACCAUUGCCAUUCUCUCGAACCUUUUGAAAUCAUCCGACACUUCUGGAUCAUGCUUAACCACCGCCUCUAGCUUACCCUUUCUCACACAAGUCAGAACCCAAUCCACGAGAAUAAGGUCAUCUUCUUCCGAUUCUUCCUCAACCCGGUUCAGCUCUAUGUGCUUUCUGCAGCAUAUGAUCUCAAGCAGCAGCACCCCAAAACUGUAGACAUCAACCUUGGCCGUUACUGGAACAUUUUUGAGCCAUUCUGGUGCCAUGUAUCCCAUUGUUCCUCUCACAUUGGUGCUUGUUCUAGUCUGAUCUUUCAUCAAUAGCUUCGCCAGGCCAAACUCUGCAAUUUUGGGAUUGAAUUGACUAUCAAGUAACACGUUCUGGGGCUUUAUAUCACAGUGAAUGAUUUGGGUUUCACAUUCAUCAUGUAAAUACGAGAGCCCACGUGCAAUUGCCAGAACAAUUUGAGCUCUAUGAUCCCAGCAUGGUUUCUCACCCUCGGAAAAUAGAAAACCAGACAGAGUCCCAUUUGUCAUCAGCUCAUAGACUAGAAGUCUAUGACUUUGCUCAUCACAGAAACCCAACAGCUUGACUAAAUUUUUGUGAUGGGUUUGGCCUAUUACCCUCAACUCUGUCAGAAAUUCUUUGUCACCUUGUUCCAUCACUCUCUCCAGCUUCUUCACAGCAAUCUUUAUCUGCUUAUCUUCCAAAUUUAGAAUCCCACUAUAUACUGUCCCGAAUGAUCCUCUUCCGAUUUUGUUUUUGAACCCAUCGGUUGCUUCAUGCAACUCCCUAUAUGUGAAUUUUUUCAAGUUGAUCUCUGCAGGAUUUGCAAGGAAUUUUCUUGCUCUGGAUAGUCUAGCUAUAGGGUUAUAUAUUGCAAAGGCAGCAAACAGGAGAGCAAGCAUGGUGCUUAUUGAAAGGCAUACCUUCAGAAUCAUCUGAGAGCGAGGCUCUUUCUUCCCCGCUAUUAGACCAUCAGUCUUCCCUUGCUCUACCACUGGAACCUUGAUGAUGGUUUGUAUCCCAUUAGUAGAAGGGCUGCUCUGUCUGGCAUUCAUAAAAGGAAUCCUCUUCUUGCGGCAAACGUUGUCUGCUGUUAGGGUAGCUGCCAUGCAAUAGCAAUCAUCCAUGACUGCCUCCCUGCAUUUCUCCAAAUCAGAAUUGUACAGUCGAGUCAUUUCUGUGAAUAAGUUGUUCACAAUAUCCGCAUUAUCAAUCACUUCUAUGUUAUAAUUUGUCACAUCAGAUGGACUCUUGGAGCACUGUUGCGGUGGGACAUUUGGAUAGCAUCCUUUGGAAGGAACAUUAGGAUCCAUGAGAGAAUAACCUGGAAGACAGCUACAAGUAACGUUUUGAUUAUCGGGAGAAGUACAGUAGCCGUAAACACCGCAAAUACCAUUGACAGAGCAAGGUUCAGUGGCCGCUUUCCAAACACUUGUCCAUCCGCUGCCAUUUACCUUAGGGUAAAUAUACUGCUGGAAAUUUCCGGUGUCUUCUACGGUUGCUCUGUGAUAAUAGCGGUCAACUGGUGUUGGCACAUUCGUGGUCAACCGGUAAAUGAUGGAAGUUAAAUUGGUAACAUACAUCAAUGCUGUGCUCUCAUUGAACACAAGACUAACGUUGGGCUGUAUAGUAUCAGUCCACCAGUAACCACUGUCUGCCCAUCGGAAUGUAGCUAGGACCACAUUUCCAUCAGUACCCACCUCUAGCAUGAAUUUUCCGGUAGAGUAGUCCACAGUUCCGUUAGCAUUGGAGUAGAGCCUAUGGUCCCAUGGAACUUUCUGGCCCAGUAAAAGUGUGUCCGUUGGGUUAUCAAAACUUUGCCACACCACACUUGAAACAAAGUUUCUUAAGACAAGGUUGCCGUUGUUUUGCAAGGAAGCUGAAUUCGCAGCACUGGCGCCGUUGGAUAUUUGGGAGACGGUUCCGUUGGGGAACGUCAGCACAAGGCUUCCAGCGAGCGUGAGGUUGACGGAGGAUCCAGCAGGGGCUGGAGCAUCCCGAUUUGCCGACCAAACAACGGUUUUCUCAGGAAUCUUAUUGAACCAAAUUCCAAGAAGAAACAGACCACCAGGGAGAGGGUAGAACCCGAAAGCAAAGUCGCCUGAGAGUGAGAGCCACGAGGAAUUUGUGUGGGUGUCGAAGCUGGAUCCUAAGCUUAUAUUUCCCUUCACUUGGGCAUGGGAUCCAAGGAAGAAGUGUAGCAGUAGCAGAGAGAACACAAGAAGUAUGGUAGCCGCCAUUGUUAUGUGGGGAAGAUAGGAAAAUUCGCAACAACAAAACAGAUGGGAUGAUUGUAUAUAGGAAAAACCUUGCAAAACUUCCACAUCGUGGAGAGACCACAGAAAACAAUGACUCACCCAACCACAGAAAGACACUAAGCAGUGCGGACCCGGAGACUUUCGUUAGGGCCACCUCAAAAAUAUUAUAUUAUAAUCUUCAUUCAUAAAUUAUAAGAUAAUUAAUGGUAUUUUUUAUUAUUAUUAUUAAAUAAUUAAAUAAUUUUAAAUAUUAAUUAUGAAUGGGUAAGUGUCAAAUUAAUGGUGCGGUCCCGAAUGAUACCCUUAUGGACUAAUAAUGGUAGAAAGCGAUAGAAAUUAGUGGUGUGGUCCUCUUUGGUGUAUGGGAAAGUCCAUAUAUAGUGCCGGAAUAUGUACGCAAAAAUAUAAGUCUUCCAUGCGGAACAAAAAUUUCCAAAAGUUGGGCAAAUUAAGAUCUAGAUAGGAAUAUGAGAACUAAGUAACAAAUGUGAAUGUCAUUGUAGGUCCACCCAGGAAGAAAAAUUUCCAAAGUUCGAAAAGAUGUACAUGGUGGGAAGAUGAGAAACUAUCCAACAAAUGUGAAUGUCAUUAUAGGUCCACCCAAGAAGAAAUUAUUUUUAUAUAUUUUUUCAAAUUUAUUUUGCUUACUUUUCUCUUUUAUAUAUAUUUAUAUUUAUUUAUAAUAAAACAAAAUAUAAAAAAAAAACUAUUUUCUCUAACACGGUUUUCUUUUUUUAGUAGUUUCUGCACAGAAACAUCACCGAGAAGUAUUCAACUUGCGUCAACCUUUGAACAGUACUUUCUCACAAUUUGAGGAUAUCUUUUUCCAGAAUAGUGUGGGUAGGCCCUGCUUCUUGAAUCUUGAGCCUUGUUGGCUGUAUGCCAAGGUUGAAAAUUAUGGUCUUAGUUUUGUCGACUUGUAUGGUAGACUGGGCUUCAUAUGGUGGACCUAUGCCCUGUCCUUCUGAUGUUUAUUUUAAUUUGAGGAGUUUAAAUAAUUUCCUCGUUUUGUUUCUUAAUUGGAAUAUCUUAUUUUUCACAAUAGUUUCAAGCUCUAAUUUAACCGAUUUUCCUAAAUUUUAUUAGAAUAGGGUAGAAUCUAAUUACAAACCUCUGAUCUUGCUCUCUCAAAAUUAAUUUUUUUAGCCAUCCAAGGUGAUGAUCUCCCACGUAUACAAAAAUACAAAAAAAAAAAAAAAAAAAAGGAAAAAGGAAAAGAAGAAGAAGAAAAAUUGACACAAUAUCCUAACGAAAAACAAACCAUGAUGAAUGAAAAGAAGAACAAGACAAACUCCAAACUUCAAAUGUGAUACAGGGGGCUGCUCGCUAAGGUAUAAAAUUCAAAGAUGUGGAAUUUAGAAUGUUGGGGCAUGGGCCAGGGGUGGGACGGCCACCUCCACUGUUCCUUCCAACAUCUGAAUCACCUUCUUCAUGGUUGGACGUAGAAUUGGGUCCGGAUGAACACACCACAAACCAACCAUUGCCAUUCUUUCGAACCUUUUGAAAUCAUCCGACACUUCUGGAUCAUGCUUAACUACCGCCUCUAGCUUACCCCUAAUCACACAAGUCAGAACCCAAUCUACGAGAAUAAGGUCAUCUUCUUCCGAUUCUUCCUCAACCCGGUUCAGCUCUAUGUGCCUUCUGCAGCAUAUGAUCUCAAGCAGCAGCACCCCAAAACUGUAGACAUCAACCUUGGCCGUUACUGGAACAUUUUUGAGCCAUUCUGGUGCCAUGUAUCCC